GACGAACGCUGGCGGCGUGCUUAACACAUGCAAGUCGAGCGGUAAGGCCCUUUCGGGGGUACACGAGCGGCGAACGGGUGAGUAACACGUGGGUGACCUGCCCUCAGCUCUGGGAUAAGCCUGGGAAACUGGGUCUAAUACUGGAUAUGACUCCACGGUGCAUGUCGUGGGGUGGAAAGCCUUGUGCGGCUGAGGAUGGGCCCGCGGCCUAUCAGCUUGUUGGUGGGGUGAUGGCCUACCAAGGCGACGACGGGUAGCCGGCCUGAGGGGGCGACCGGCCACACUGGGACUGAGACACGGCCCAGACUCCUAC
rnacentral:rRNA from 1 species